rnacentral:rRNA from 1 species
UACGUAGGGGGCAAGCGUUGUCCGGAUUUAUUGGGCGUAAAGAGCGUGUAGGCGGCUGUUCAAGUCGAACGUGAAAACUCGGAGCUCAACUCCGAGCCUGCGUUCGAUACUGGACGGCUAGAGUCUGGUAGGGGGAUCUGGAAUUCCUGGUGUAGCGGUGGAAUGCGCAGAUAUCAGGAGGAACACCGGUGGCGAAGGCGGGAUCCUGGGCCAGUACUGACGCUGAGGAGCGAAAGCGUGGGGAGCAAACAGG